rnacentral:rRNA from 1 species
UACGGGGGGGGCAAGCGUUGUUCGGAAUUACUGGGCGUAAAGGGCUCGUAGGUGGCCAACUAAGUCAGACGUGAAAUCCCUCGGCUUAACCGGGGAACUGCAUCUGAUACUGGAUGGCUUGAGUUUGGGAGAGGGAUGCGGAAUUCCUGGUGUAGCGGUGAAAUGCGCAGAUAUCAGGAGGAACACCGAUGGCGAAGGCAGGUCUCUGGGCCACUACUGACGCUGAGAAGCGAAAGCAUGGGGAGCGAACAGG